ACAGUCCUGAGGGCGGGCAUUCCUCGCGCAGCGCGCCGACCCCCGGGACGUGUGCGUCUGUGGGGGGUUGCUGUCCCCCGGGUCCCUCGGGCGACCCCGCUCCACGCUGGGCUCAGGGCAGGACCCGGGAUUCCGUGGGACCCGGUGUUUAGCGCAGAGACUGUCAAUUUCGGAUCCAAAGACGGCGAUGGCAGAGCUCACCCGGGUUGCCUGUCAAAUCAAGGCUAUCGCAAAAUAAAUCCCGCCGCCUGCCGCGAAGCCCCGGCGCACCGCAAACUUCAGUGAGCGAACUGGGUGAUCGCUGUUGGGAUAUGCAGAUUCCUGAUGUAAAAGGCGGGGUGGCCCCCCCGAGAGCCUCUCCCGGGGGCCGGAGCCCGUAGGUGCAGUAAGGCGCGCGCGCCGGUGCCGGCGCCC
rnacentral:lncRNA from 1 species